CAAAUUCUCUCCUUUUGUUUCUUCAAUUGUCAUCUCUGCAACGCACCCAAAUGCUUCUGUACUCAUCGUCUGGCCGGACAAAAUCCCUCUCUCUCUCUCUCUCUCACUUCCUCGCUCGCGGCGGCGACCUGCGAUGGAAUCGUGGAUCGUGGCCCCCCCUUUAAUUGAUCGUUUCAUGCAUCAUAGGAAGUUUUUCCUCCCACUGAGUUGGUGAUCGCUGGGCUGAGGUCCGUUGAUCCUAUUUUGUCGCGAGGAUGGCGAUUCUAAACGGUGUCUGUUGGUUUUGUUGGGUACAGGUGGUAUGAUUUUUCCUGCUUGGCUAUUGUUAUAUGGAGAAUUUGGAAGGACUGUCUUCAUAUGCAGGUGAGGAUUGUUGGAUCGUGUGGCAUCCACCUACGUGAUUGAAGAAGCUACCUAAUUUGAUUGUGUGAUCCCAUCUUCUGGACUUUAUGGUGCCCUGCUUCCUUGGAGUGUUUUUCGAUGGUCUGGUUCCUGGAAUAUCAAUCGAUCUUUAUUGUAGUAGGACUUUCCGAUCUCCUCUGAUCAAUAUAGAUCUCCACAACUCGACUUAACUUUUUCACAGGGUUCUAGUUGUUACCAUGAGAAUGAGGAUUUUGCUGAUUAGCCUUGGCCCUUCAGAUCUGCGUGCACUCCUGUGGAAGUUCC